rnacentral:rRNA from 1 species
GAUCAUGGCUCAGAUUGAACGCUGGCGGCAGGCCUAACACAUGCAAGUCGAACGGUAACAGGAAACAGCUUGCUGUUUCGCUGACGAGUGGCGGACGGGUGAGUAAUGUCUGGGAAACUGCCUGAUGGAGGGGGAUAACUACUGGAAACGGUAGCUAAUACCGCAUAACGUCGCAAGACCAAAGAGGGGGACCCUCGGGCCUCUUGCCAUCGGAUGUGCCCAGAUGGGAUUAGCUUGUUUGGG